ACGAGAGGCAGGCUUCCAUCCAAUCAGAGGACCCGCCGAGCUCCCAGGCGCCGGGAAGACCCACAGCCCCACGCAUAUACUUGUCUCCGGACUGUACAUAUACACACAUAUUCUCAUGCUUAUACAUACACUCUUUCUGCGACGUUGGGGGUUUUUACGUGCGAAACUACUGCCGCCGUCCCUUUGUUCUCUUUUUUACACGCAGAGUACGGACUGGGAAGGCGGAUGGGUCGAUUAGCGAACACGGAAACGGGAAGGAAGAGGGUUGACGGCUGAACGAGCCAGGCCGGGAGUGAGGCGGAGAGGAAAGGGGAAGGAUCCGGGUGGCGGGUGGGGAGGGAUGGAGAUGUUGCUCUAAUCUUGGCGGGAAUAGCCACCUCCGAGCCCCGGCGGGGGCCAGAAGGGGCAGGGAGGAGGGGCGUCGGAGGGAGGCGCGGCGUAGUUCAAGGGGCCUUGGCGGCCAAGUUUGAAUCAAUUCGAAACUCAAGGCGUGGUAACGGUUUUAACGGCCGCGCUCUUUCUCCUCUCCUCCCCUCACCCUAGUGACGGGAUGGGCUAGGCACGGCCCCGGACGGGUGGAGGCUUGGAGUCCCCGGGAGACCCCAGAGACGGGAGCAAGUCUCGGCUUCCUGAGGCCCCAGGACUAAGCCCGCCCCAGCCGCCGAGUCGCCUCUGACCGUUUUGGGGUGGCGGCUACAUUUGACGGCCGCUAGGGGCGGCGCAGCGCCCGCGGGGUUGGGUGACUAGAGCUCUGCCACUGAUUUGCAUGCGAGGCGCGAGGCGUCCCCCCGCCCCUCUGCCAACCCGCCGGCCCUGGCGGGAGCCGGUCCGGCUAAUGAGCGCGCUCUCUUGGGGCGGAGAGCCGCGCUCUGGCGCUCCGCCGUUAGAGGCCUCGGAGGCACCCGCCCACCGACAAAACAGAAAGCGACCGCACCACCCGCCGUUAUUCCUGCUGGAUCAGUGUGGGCCUUCGCGGGUUCCUAAGAGAGAGGCUGGCAUUACUGGUAGUUAAGAACGUUCACUCUUAUUUAAAGCCUUGGCAGGUUCUGGACUGAAUGCAUGUGUCACCUAAGUCACUCAGGUAAAGCACCCACUUGUGCAGGACAGACCUUAAGGGAACCUCCUUUGGGAAAAAAUGUUAGGAUUGCUCUAUCUCGCUGAAUCUUAAAAAACAUUAGUAGUGACCAUAGGAGAACCUGGCUUCACACACAGCACCAGAAGCAGACUGUGCAGAAUAUAAACUCCAUUUUUUUAAUUUGCUGGGGAGGUGUGGGGGGCGGGCAACCAAGAUUUAAAUUUCUAUGGGCUCUUAAUUUUUUUUAAAAACCCUUACCAUCUGAGUCAAUACUGUGUAUUGGCUUCAAGGCAGAAGAGUGGUUAAGGGCUAGGCAAUGGGGGUCAAGUGACUUGUCCAGGGUCACACAGCUGGGAAGUGGCCACUUAAUUUUUAAAUAGAGGUUUUGUUUUUGUUUUUUAAGAUCCGUAUAAUUUUACUCUAUACAGAAAUUACCCACUUGCACUGAGAAUUCAAAAUUUUCCAGUGUCCAGACACACAAAUGUGGUAAUUCAAAAAAGAAAACCCAAUUAUCAAUUAAUUUGGAGUUUAAAAAAUUAGAGGAAUUAUAUAUACUUGUUUUUCAAUUUGUAAAGAUGAUGCUUAAAUGAAUAUGGGUAUUCACCCACCCCCAAAGAUACUGUUGCAUGGCCCAUGCAUCUCUUUGUCAAUCUGGUCUAUACCCACUCAACCUGUUUUAGCUUCCUCUUUGGGGAUGUCCUUCAGUUAUCCUUCAUCCCUUGCCUCAUUACCAGCCCACCUUUUCUAGUGGGUUUUAUCUUGUCCUGCAUCUCUGAUGAUUUCCCUUCUAUUGCCUCUUCUGUUCAAAGAGAAUACUAGAAAAUUAAAAUCAGAAACUUUCAUCUGUUGAUUUUCCCUGUAAUUUCUAUAAUGGAAUUCACUGUAAUUACCCUCACGCAUAGAGGGAAAUGUGAGGAUUUGAAAUUAAUAAAAUAUGGAAAAUAUUUGAAAUAUUAUAUUCUUGAAAUACAGAAGACAAUACAAUAAUGGAAAUGUUAACCAACAGAACAGUCAAUAAACUACUAUGUGCCAAACAAACACUGCUUUAAACCCUGGAGAUACAAGUAAGAAAAAAUAGUGCCUACUGUCAACGAGCAUUCAAUCAAAUGAGGAAAGAUAACACAGAAAAAGAAGCUGAGUUCUAAAAGGUCCUACAUACAUUAAAAGCUUGUCAGUUUUGGGAAACAUUUGAGGCAUGGAGAAACUACAGAAUAAGACCUUUAGGCAUUAACAGCUGACUGCAUCUACAAGGGUAAUAAAUUUUCUCUACCUCCA